UGCUGGUUUAUGUUGUAUUAUGUAUUUGUUUUUAUUCUGUAGUUAGUCACCACUUCGGUGUUAUCAUGUAUAUCUAUUAUAUAGUCAUUUUUGUGGGUUUGCUGUUUGCAAAUUAAAAUGUGAAUUGUUUCUAGAUGCUGGAGAUGUUCUUGUCCCAGGCAGAUAACCUUAGUCGUAUUAGGCGCAACUUUUUGGAACUUUUAGUCCUCAAUGCUCUUCAACUUUGUGCUUGUUUUGGUUUUCGAACAUUUUUUUUCUGAGCGUCACUGAUUAGUCUUGUUUGGACGAAACGCGCGUCUGGCGUAUUAGAUUAUAAACC
rnacentral:lncRNA from 1 species